rnacentral:lncRNA from 1 species
CCCAUAGCAAGCCUAAAAUUUUAGUUCUGCAACCUGGGGCCCACAGACUGAAGACAUUAUACCAGAUAACCUAAAGCAAACUCAUUACAACAUCAAAAUCCUGCUUAAAAAGCAAGUAUAGAACUUACACAAUAUCUAUCUAUUAAAUCCAUCCAAAGUCUAUAAAUAACAUCAGUUUACUGCCCCAUAAAGCCCUUUUCAACAGAAAACAUUUCCUCAACGAUAAUCAGUCUCACAUGAACAUUCAUUGGUUCUGUCAAAUUAUGCAUGUCCCCUAAUCAGUACAC